rnacentral:rRNA from 1 species
UAGAAUUAUAAUUAAAGGUAAUUUCUGCCCUAUGAUUAUUUAAAUGGCUGCAGUAUAUUGACUGUGCAAAGGUAGCAUAAUAAUUAGUCUUUUAAUUGAAGGCUUGUAUGAAUGAAUUAAUGAGGAGUUUAUUUUAUUAUUUUUAUGGUUUUAAUUUAAUUUUUGAGUUAAAAAGCUUAAUUUAUUUUUUGGGACGAGAAGACCCUAUAGAAUUUAAUAAAUUUUUUUAAUAAUUUUUUUUUGAUUAAUAAAUUUAAUUUUUAGGGAUUUUUCUUUUGUUGGGGNGAUGAAUAAAUUUGACUUUAUUUUUUAUAAUCAUUAAUUUAUGUUCUUUUGAUCCAUUAUUUUGAUUUUAAGAUUAAAUUACCUUAGGGAUAACAGCGUAAUUUUUAUGGGGAGUUCAUAUUUAUAUAAAAGUUUGCGACCUCGAUGUUGAAUUAAGAUAAAAUUUUGGAGCAG